rnacentral:lncRNA from 1 species
UGUCCCUCCAAGGCCGGUCCUCGCCUCCCUGCCCCUCUUUGCUCUGCUCCGUUUCAGCUGUGCAUCCUUAAGUGAUUCAGGGGCUCCGGGCCAAAGGGCUCUUUGCCCCGCUGGGCUGAUCCCGAGGAGAAACGGUGAUGUGCCAGGAGGCCUGGGAGGCGAAUGUCAUUUCAUCACUGUUCUCCCUGGAGAGUAAUGUCCGUAGCCAGACAUAUGCUCAUGGCCUGGAAUGAAGUCGACUGCAAUUACAUCCUGAGGGAGUCACUCAACAGGGGUUUUGUGGAGGCAGGACGCAGGCUGUGGUGGAGCUGCACAUGUGCUGUUAGACCUCCGACUGCACUCCCUCUGCCUUCAGCUUUGUGGGAACGAGGAGCAGCAGGCUCAGAAGUACAGCCAGUCUGGUGCACAUCUGGAGGCAGUAAUUGGAGGCUCCCAUGAGGAGAGUGAUGCUUGUGCCUUGGACCUGCUGCCUCCCAGUCACCUACCGGGAGUUCCCCUCUUCCUGGACAGUCUUCCUGCCUGUGGAGUUCACCUCUGAGCCAGGCCUCCCAUAAUUAAAGCAAGCCUUGCUUUUGACUUUCUGCAAGCUCUGGAUUUCUGCAAGGCCUUUCCAGGACUUGCAGCUUUCCUCCAGCUCAGCCCUUGCAAGCCAAAUGAUGAGGCUUCCAGGGCUUCUCCCGUGGGAUGGCUCCAGUGCAUGCAUCUCACUGUCAGGAAGCUUUUCCUGACACUCAGCCGAAAUUUCCCCCUUUUCAAAUGUCAUCCUGGC